UACAGAGACUGCAAGCGUUAUUCGGAUUCACUGGGCGUAAAGGGUGCGCAGGCGGCCAAGUGUGUCAGGUGUGAAAUCCCGAGCUUAACCUCGGAACUGCGCCUGAAACUACUUGGCUAGAGUACUGGAGAGGGUAACGGAAUUCACGGUGUAGCAGUGAAAUGCGUAGAUAUCGUGAGGAACACCAGAGGCGAAGGCGGUUACCUGGACAGUUACUGACGCUCAGGCACGAAAGCGUGGGAGCAAAGGG
rnacentral:rRNA from 1 species